rnacentral:tRNA from 1 species
UCCCUGGUGGCUCAGUGGGUUAAGGACAUGGCAUUGUUGCUGCUGUGGUGCAGGUUUGAUCCCUGGCCUGGGAA